rnacentral:rRNA from 1 species
CAGCCGCCGCGGGAAUACGGAGGGUGCAAGCGUUAAUCGGAAUUACUGGGCGUAGAGCGUGCGUAGGUGGUGGUUUAAGUCCGUUGUGAAAGCCCUGGGCUCAACCUGGGAAUUGCAGUGGAUACUGGGUCACUAGAGUGUGGUAGAGGAUAGUGGAAUUUCCGGUGUAGCAGUGAAAUGCGUAGAGAUCGGAAGGAACAUCUGUGGCGAAGGCGGCCAUCUGGGACAACACUGACGCUGAGGUACGAAAGCGUGGGGAGCAAACAGGAUUAGAUACCCGUGUAGUCCCUGUCUCUUAUAA